UCUUGCAUCCUCACCUCGGCGGGGGUGUGCAGCGCCAGCGAGCCCAAGGUCUCCCUGGCGAGCAUGGCAGGACUGGAGGGCUCCUCGGCGUCCCUCGGGGCCCCGACGGAGGUGCCGGAGAUCUUCCGGCUACAAAACCGGGCAGGUGGAGCUCGUUAGCCGUGGUAGGCAGUCUGCCUAGGAGAGCAAACUCCGAACAAUAAACCCGGGCAGGUGGAGGUCGUCAGCCGUGGUAGGCAGUUCACCUAGGAGAGCAAACUCCGAACAAUAAACCCGGCCAGGUGGAGGUCGUCAGCCGUGGUAGGCAAUCUGCCUAGGAGAGCAAACUCCGAACAAUAAACCCGGCCAGGUGGAGGUCGUCAGCCGUGGUAGGCAAUCUGCCUAGGAGAGCAAACUCCGAACAAUAAACCCGGCCAGGUGGAGGUCGUCAGCCGUGGUAGGCAAUCUGCCUAGGAGAGCAAACUCUAAACAAACCCGGGCUUGUGGUGCUCGUUAUACUGUCGUAGACAAUCCACGCGAUGGGAACACCAAAGAAAAGGAAAAUAAAAAGGAACACCAGAAAAAUGGAAAAUACAGAAACGAAACAUCAAGAAAAGAAACAAAAAGAUCAUCCACCUUUAGGCCCUAACAUCGCCAAAAUUAUGGAUGGGUCUCUUCUGGGGAGAAAGCGGCUCAUCCAGACCAAAGAACAUCAACCAAAG